rnacentral:rRNA from 1 species
CUCAGGACGAACGCUGGCGGCGUGCUUAACACAUGCAAGUCGAACGGAAAGGCCCUGCUUUUGUGGGGUGCUCGAGUGGCGAACGGGUGAGUAACACGUGAGUAACCUGCCCUUGACUUUGGGAUAACUUCAGGAAACUGGGGCUAAUACCGGAUAGGAGCUCCUGCUGCAUGGUGGGGGUUGGAAAGUUUCGGCGGUUGGGGAUGGACUCGCGGCUUAUCAGCUUGUUGGUGGGGUAGUGGCUUACCAAGGCUUUGACGGGUAGCCGGCCUGAGAGGGUGACCGGCCACAUUGGGACUGAGAUACGGCCCAGACUCCUACGGGAGGCAGCAGUGGGGAAUAUUGCACAAUGGGCGGAAGCCUGAUGCAGCAACGCCGCGUGCGGGAUGACGGCCUUCGGGUUGUAAACCGCUUUCGCCUGUGACGAAGCGUGAGUGACGGUAAUGGGUAAAGAAGCACCGGCUAACUACGUGCCAGCAGCCGCGGUGGUACGUAGGGUGCGAGCGUUGUCCGGAUUUAUUGGGCGUAAAGGGCUCGUAGGUGGUUGAUCGCGUCGGAAGUGUAAUCUUGGGGCUUAACCCUGAGCGUGCUUUCGAUACGGGUUGACUUGAGGAAGGUAGGGGAGAAUGGAAUUCCUGGUGGAGCGGUGGAAUGCGCAGAUAUCAGGAGGAACACCAGUGGCGAAGGCGGUUCUCUGGGCCUUUCCUGACGCUGAGGAGCGAAAGCGUGGGGAGCGAACAGGCUUAGAUACCCUGGUAGUCCACGCUGUAAACGGUGGGUACUAGGUGUGGGGUCCAUUCCACGGGUUCCGUGCCGUAGCUAACGCUUUAAGUACCCCGCCUGGGGAGUACGGCCGCAAGGCUAAAACUCAAAGGAAUUGACGGGGCCCCGCACAAGCGGCGGAGCAUGCGGAUUAAUUCGAUGCAACGCGUAGAACCUUACCUGGGUUUGACAUGGAUCGGGAGUGCUCAGAGAUGGGUGUGCCUCUUUUGGGGUCGGUUCACAGGUGGUGCAUGGCUGUCGUCAGCUCGUGUCGUGAGAUGUUGGGUUAAGUCCCGCAACGAGCGCAACCCUUGUUCACUGUUGCCAGCACGUUAUGGUGGGGACUCAGUGGAGACCGCCGGGGUCAACUCGGAGGAAGGUGGGGAUGACGUCAAGUCAUCAUGCCCCUUAUGUCCAGGGCUUCACGCAUGCUACAAUGGCUGGUACAGAGAGUGGCGAGCCUGUGAGGGUGAGCGAAUCUCGGAAAGCCGGUCUCAGUUCGGAUUGGGGUCUGCAACUCGACCUCAUGAAGUCGGAGUCGCUAGUAAUCGCAGAUCAGCAACGCUGCGGUGAAUACGUUCCCGGGGCUUGUACACACCGCCCGUCAAGUCAUGAAAGUUGGUAACACCCGAAGCCGGUAGCCUAACCGUUGUGGGGGAGCCGUCGAAGGUGGGACU